rnacentral:rRNA from 1 species
GCGGCCACUGCUAUCAAGUUCCGACUAAGCCAUGCGAGUCAAGGUAUCGUAAGAUGCCGGCAAACUGCUCAGUAACACGUGGAUAAUCUAACCUUGAGUAAGGGAUAACUUCGGGAAACUGAAGGUAAUACCUUAUAAUUGCUUAAAACUGGAAUGUUUUUGCAAUAAAAGUUACGACGCUCAAGGAUGAGUCUGCGACCUAUCAGGUAGUAGGUGGUGUAAUGGACCACCUAGCCUCAGACGGGUACGGGCCCUGGGAGGGGUAGCCCGGAGAUGGACUCUGGGACAUAAGUCCAGGCCCUACGGGGCGCAGCAGGCGCGAACACUGUGCAAUGCGCGAAAGCGCGACACGGGGAGCUUGAGUGUCUUGGCAUAGCCAAGACUUUUCUCAUUCCUAAAAAGCAUGAGGAAUAAGUGCUGGGUAAGACGGGUGCCAGCCGCCGCGAUAACACCCGCAGCACGAGUAGUGGUCACUUUUAUUGAGCCUAAAGCGUUCGUAGCCGGUUUUGUAAAUCUUCAGAUAAAGCCUGAAGCUUAACUCCAGAAAGUCUGAAGAGACUGCAAGACUUGAGAUCGGGUGAGGUUAAACGUACUUUCAGGGUAGGGGUAAAAUCCUGUAAUCCCGGAAGGACGACCAGUGGCGAAAGCGUUUAACUAGAACGAAUCUGACGGUAAGGAACGAAGGCUAGGGUAGCAAACCGGAUUAGAUACCCGGGUAGUCCUAGCUGUAAACAUUGCCCAUUUGAUGUUGCUUUUCCGUUGAGGGAAGGCAGUGUCGGAGCGAAGGUGUUAAAUGGGCCGCUUGGGAAGUAUGGUCGCAAGACUGAAACUUAA